CCGCUGUGCCUGCUCGGCCGACUCCUCCAUGA
rnacentral:piRNA from 1 species